AGGCACGUCAGAAUCCAAUGUUUUCUUUACUUCCGGUGUCCCGAGAAACCUUCAUCGGGUCGAAUUUUGAAGGCCUCACGGAUCCGCGCGGUGAUUGGUCGAGCAGGUGGCCAAGCGGCUGGAGCACAGUUUUCAUGUGUGCGAACCUGAUCGAUGACAAACAGGGCAACAACGGCAUUAGCGAAAAGAGAGGGCGUUGCUAUGGGCGAGAGUGAUGGUAACGUCAAACAUGGCGUCGCAAUGAGCUUGAGAUUCAGUCACGUUCUUGAAGGAUAGAAGGAUACACGUCUAAAUGGCGGACAAAAGGAGCAGAGAGAGGGGGAGCGAGACAAAGAGAUUCUGGACGGACAGAUGGAGCGAAGGAAAGAUGGAUGGAGAGUAUGACUGAACCGGUAAUGACGGAAACAGACGAAUGAGUGACAAAGAGUGACGGCGUCCGAGUUGAUUCUUUUCUCGUCCAACCUUGUUUACAACACUACACUACAUACCAUCCCGCAGCAUGUCAUUUGUGUGACAUAUAUGGACUUCAAAUAUUUGUUUUUACAUGCUGGACACAAACAGCAAAGCAUAUGCGUCCCAGAAUAGUUCAUCUUCUGGGUAUCUGUAAUUAAAAGACGGUCUUCAGCACUGACUUGUACGAGAAUUUCAAACUUGCUUUACGAGUUUCUGUGUUUCUAUCCGAAGUUGUUUCAUAAUCCUUUUGAACUGACCAUAAGCACUGGGUUAGACGCUUGGUUUCUAUUACAGACUCUUUGUUGGACUAAAAGGAAUGCCUCACAGUUUCUACAUGCGGGCCUUGUCAUUUUAACAGACAACCAUAUUUUAGUUUUUUCUCCAUAUUUAGUUUUGUCCCCUUGGCAAGUUCAUUUAUCAAUCUGGAUUUCUCAAUCAUCUCUUUCGCACCUGAGUCUCUACAGACACACAUGCGCACACAUACAGAUGAGGAAGAGUAACACACGCAGUCAGACCCAAACACACCUACUGUCUGAACCCUGGACGGAUUAAUCCUGUCUGAUAAAGCCAGUCCAAAGCUUACAACAACAACAUCUGUGCUGUGCGCAUGUAUGUAUGUAAGUGUGUACUGUGUCUGUGUAGGUUUAGGUUUGACACAUAAGUG